rnacentral:rRNA from 1 species
GAUGAACGCUGGCUACAGGCUUAACACAUGCAAGUCGAGGGGAAACGCCGGGGAAGCUUGCUUCCCCGGGCGUCGACCGGCGCACGGGUGAGUAACGCGUAUCCAACCUGCCUCUGACUGAGGGAUAACCCGUCGAAAGUCGGCCUAAUACCUCAUGGCAUCGUCUGCGGGCAUCCAACGACGAUUAAAGAUUUCAUCGGUCAGGGAUGGGAUGCGUCUGAUUAGCUUGUUGGCGGGGUAACGGCCCACCAAGGCUACGAUCAGUAGGGGUUCUGAGAGGAAGGUCCCCCACAUUGGAACUGAGACACGGUCCAAACUCCUACGGGAGGCAGCAGUGAGGAAUAUUGGUCAAUGGGCGGGAGCCUGAACCAGCCAAGUAGCGUGCAGGAUGACGGCCCUAUGGGUUGUAAACUGCUUUUAUGCGGGGAUAAAGUGAGGGACGUGUCCUUCAUUGCAGGUACCGCAUGAAUAAGGACCGGCUAAUUCCGUG